AUGGGACAUGAAACUUGUUUCUACGCAAAAAGACUGCAUCCCACACGCAAGAAAAAUUUUUGAUGCAUGGGCACUUGGUUUCAUGACUCCAAAUUUUUGGUACAUGUAGCCAAGGACUGACCCAACUCAAACUCAAAGUUAGUUUAAAUUAAUUUGGCUUUAAUUAGCCCAAUCUAGAAUCAAUUUUGAAUCCGAUUCAAAAUAGGA
rnacentral:lncRNA from 1 species